ACCCGCUGAACUUAAGCAUAUCAAUGAGCGGAGGAAAAGAAACCAACAGGGAUUGCCUCAGUAACGGCGAGUGAAGCGGCAACAGCUCAAAUUUGAAAUCUGGUCCUUUCAGGGCUCGAGUUGUAAUUUGUAGAGGAUGCUUCGGGGACUGCUCCGGUCUAAGUGCCUUGGAACAGGACGUCACAGAGGGUGAGAAUCCCGUAUGUGGUCGGUCGCCGUCCCCAUGUGAAGCUCCUUCGACGAGUCGGGUUGUUUGGGAAUGCAGCCCUAAAUGGGAGGUAAAUUUCUUCUAAAGCUAAAUACCGGCCAGAGACCGAUAGCGAACAAGUAGAGUGAUCGAAAGAUGAAAAGCACUUUGGAAAGAGAGUUAAAAAGCACGUGAAAUUGUUGAAAGGGAAGCGCUUGCAACCAGACUUGACCGCGGUUGCUUAGCCGGUCUUCUGACCGGUGUACUCUUCCGCGGGCAGGCCAGCAUCAGUUCGGGCGGUUGGAUAAAGGCUUCGGGAAUGUAGCUCCUCUCGGGGAGUGUUAUAGCCCGUUGCGAAAUGCAGCCCGCCCGGACUGAGGACCGCGCUUCGGCUAGGAUGCUGGCGUAAUGGUUGUAAGCGGCCCGUCUUGAAACACGG
rnacentral:rRNA from 1 species